rnacentral:rRNA from 1 species
UGGGGAAUCUUGGACAAUGGGGGAAACCCUGAUCCAGCGACGCCGCGUGAUCGAUGAAGGCCUUCGGGUCGUAAAGAUCUUUCAGCGGGGACUAUGAUGAAGGUACCCGCAGAAGCAGGAGCGGCUAACUACGUGCCAGCAGCCGCGGUAAUACGUAGGCUCCAAGCGUUGUUCGGAAUUACUGGGCGUAAAGCGAGUGUAGGCGGUUCGCCAAGUCGAUUGUGAAAUCUCCCGGCUCAACUGGGAGGGUGCGGUCGAUACUGGCGAGCUAGAGUACGGAAGAGGAAGGUAGAAUUCCUGGUGUAGCGGUGGAAUGCGUAGAUAUCAGGAGGAAUACCGGUGGUGAAGACGGCCUUCUGGACCGUAACUGACGCUGAGACUCGAAAGCGUGGGGAGCAAACAGGAUUAGAUACCCCCGUAGUCC